rnacentral:rRNA from 1 species
AUUGAACGCUGGCGGAAUGCUUUACACAUGCAAGUCGAGCGGCAGCGCGGGGCAACCUGGCGGCGAGCGGCGAACGGGUGAGUAAUGCAUCGGAACAUGUCCAUGUCGUGGGGGAUAGCCCGGCGAAAGCCGGAUUAAUACCGCAUACGCCCGAGAGGGGAAAGUGGGGGACCGCAAGGCCUCACGCGAUUGGGUUGGCCGAUGUCCGAUUAGCUUGUUGGUGAGGUAAAGGCUUACCAAGGCGAUGAUCGGUAGCUGGUCUGAGAGGAUGAUCAGCCACACUGGGACUGAGACACGGCCCAGACUCCUACGGGAGGCAGCAGUGGGGAAUUUUGGACAAUGGGGGCAACCCUGAUCCAGCCAUUCCGCGUGAGUGAAGAAGGCCUUCAGGUUGUAAAGCUCUUUUGUCCGGAGCGAAACGGUCACGGUGAAUGUCCGUGACUACUGACGGUACCGGAAGAAUAAGCACCGGCUAACUACGUGCCAGCCGCCGCAGUAACAC